AGAGUUUGAUCCUGGCUCAGGAUGAACGCUAGCUACAGGCUUAACACAUGCAAGUCGAGGGGCAGCAUCAUCAAAGCUUGCUUUGAUGGAUGGCGACCGGCGCACGGGUGAGUAACACGUAUCCAACCUGCCGACAACACUGGGAUAGCCUUUCGAAAGAAAGAUUAAUACCGGAUGGCAUAAUUAUUCCGCAUGGGAUAAUUAUUAAAGAAUUUCGGUUGUCGAUGGGGAUGCGUUCCAUUAGGCAGUUGGCGGGGUAACGGCCCACCAAACCAACGAUGGAUAGGGGUUCUGAGAGGAAGGUCCCCCACAUUGGAACUGAGACACGGUCCAAACUCCUACGGGAGGCAGCAGUGAGGAAUAUUGGUCAAUGGACGAGAGUCUGAACCAGCCAAGUAGCGUGAAGGAUGACUGCCCUAUGGGUUGUAAACUUCUUUUAUACGGGAAUAAAGUGAGCCACGUGUGGCUUUUUGUAUGUACCGUAUGAAUAAGGAUCGGCUAACUCCGUGCCAGCAGCCGCGGUAAUACGGAGGAUCCGAGCGUUAUCCGGAUUUAUUGGGUUUAAAGGGAGCGUAGGCGGAUUGUUAAGUCAGUUGUGAAAGUUUGCGGCUCAACCGUAAAAUUGCAGUUGAUACUGGCGACCUUGAGUGCAACAGAGGUAGGCGGAAUUCGUGGUGUAGCGGUGAAAUGCUUAGAUAUCACGAAGAACUCCGAUUGCGAAGGCAGCUUACUGGAUUGUAACUGACGCUGAUGCUCGAAAGUGUGGGUAUCAAACAGGAUUAGAUACCCUGGUAGUCCACACAGUAAACGAUGAAUACUCGCUGUUGGCGAUAUACGGUCAGCGGCCAAGCGAAAGCAUUAAGUAUUCCACCUGGGGAGUACGCCGGCAACGGUGAAACUCAAAGGAAUUGACGGGGGCCCGCACAAGCGGAGGAACAUGUGGUUUAA
rnacentral:rRNA from 1 species